rnacentral:rRNA from 1 species
GUCCGGAAACNGGCGCUAAUACCGCAUACGUCCUACGGGAGAAAGUGNGGGAUCUUCGGACCUCACGCUAUUAGAUGANCCUAGGUCGGAUUACCUAGUUGGUGAGGUAAUGGCUCACCAAGGCUACNAUCCGUAACUGGUCUGAGAGGAUGAUCAGUCACACUGGAACUGANACACGGUCCANACUCCUACGGGAGGCAGCAGUGGGGAAUAUUGGACAAUGGGCGAAAGCCUGAUCCAGCCAUGCCGCGUGUGUGAAGAAGGUCUUCGGAUUGUAAAGCACUUUAAGUUGGGAGGAAGGGCAGUUACCUAAUACGUGAUUGUUUUGACGUUACCGACAGAAUAAGCACCGGCUAACUCUGUGCCAGCAGCCGCGGUAAUACAGAGGGUGCAAGCGUUAAUCGGAAUUACUGGGCGUAAAGCGCGCGUAGGUGGUUUGUUAAGUUGAAUGUGAAAGCCCCGGGCUCAACCUGGGAACUGCAUCCAAAACUGGCAAGCUAGAGUAUGGUAGAGGGUGGUGGAAUUUCCUGUGUAGCGGUGAAAUGCGUAGAUAUAGGAAGGAACACCAGUGGCGAAGGCGACCACCUGGACUGAUACUGACACUGAGGUGCGAAAGCGUGGGGGAGCAAACAGGAUUAGA